CAGGAAUUCUGUCUGGUCACUUGUCACCUCCUACUCCUAUAAAUCACGAGCUCCCUGAGGACAGGGAUCCCAGGACCCAGCUCCCCAGACAACGCUCGACACUGGUCUCCAGGAAGCUAACGUUUUCUCUGGGAUGCUGUGGAACUUUUACAUCACCACCAUGGUUUCGUGAAGACUUUCCUCCAUGGAUUCUGGCUCAUGGAAACCAGAGGCCCCUGAGGGGGACAGAAGAGCUCCUAUCAUUGGAAGAGCCGACCUCAGGGCCACUACAGAGAAAAUCCAGCAACACUUCUGGUUCCAGCGGGGGCUCCCUGCCUCCCCCCGCCACCCCACCUUUCCAGGGAAUGAGGGCCAGAUUUGCCUUCCCUGCAUUUGAUGUUUCUGCUGAAACCACCAUCAGAUGUACAAAGUGCCUUAUCCACCAUCAUGGUAUUCCACACGGCAUUGCUUCUGACCAAGGAACUCCUUUCACAGCCAGAAGUGCGACAUGGGACCCAUAACCAUGAAAACCAUUGACCUUCCUAAUGUCCACCAUCCUGAAGCAGAUGGCCUGACAGAAAGAUGGAAUGGCUUUUGAAGACAC
rnacentral:lncRNA from 1 species